rnacentral:rRNA from 1 species
AUGACACGAUUUGGUUUUGAUUCCCAGUGGGUCUCCAUGAUAAUGAGAUGCGUCACCUCAGCUCGUUUUUCUGUUAAGUUAAAUGGUGGGCUAUCUAGGAGGUUUACACCGUCUCGUGGAUUAAGACAGGGAGAUUUGUUUUCACCGUAUUUGUUUCCAUUCUGUGUGGAAGGAUUUUCAACUCUCCUCAAGAAGGCCCAGACUGACAAACAGUUGUCAUGUGUGAAGUUUGGGAGCACUGGCCCCCAUGUAACUCAUCUUUUGUUUGCACACGAUAGUAUUGUCUUCUUGGAGGGAACCAAAGAGAACAUGGAGACUUUAAAACAGAUUCUUGAGAAGUAUGAAAAAGCGUCUGGACAAAAGGUAAACUUGCAAAAAUCCUCGAUCUUUUUCGAAAAAGGAAGCCAAGGUGAGAUGAAGGAACAGAUGAAGCAGAUAGUGGGGAUUCAGUCCGAGGCUCUUAGUGAACGGUAUUUGGGGCUUCCAACACUGGUUGGCAAGUCUAAGGAUGGCACUUUUAAACAUGUAACCGAGUGUGCUAAGGGAAAAGUAGGGGGUUGGAAGGGCCAAGGAUUGUCCAAAGUUGCUAGAGAAGUGCUCGUCAAAUCUGUUUUGCAAGCGACACCGAUGUACCGCAUGAGUUGUUUUCACCUAUCGAAGAAGAUGUACCGAAACCUGACUUCAAUCUCGUCCAAAUUCUGGUGGGGUGCAACGAAUGGUGAGAGAAGGGUCCAUUGGGUCGCUUGGCAGAAGAUGUGUGCGAGUAAGAGGGAUGGGGCAUGGGGUUUCGUGAACCCGAGGCUUUCAACCAAGUGUUGUUGGCGAAACAAGCAUGGCGUAUCCUUCAAGUCCCAACUUCUCUAUGCGCUAGAGUGCUUAAAGCGAGGUAUUUUAAAGAUGACUCAAUCUUGUCCGCUUCCUGUCCUGCUUCGGGCUCUUUCACCUUCAGGAGCAUUUUGCAUGGUCGGGAUUUACUGA